ACAAAUGGGUGUGAUGCUAACA
rnacentral:siRNA from 1 species